CAGUCGCCACGGGAAUACGAAGGGGGCUAGCGUUGUUCGGAAUUACUGGGCGUAAAGCGCACGUAGGCGGACAUUUAAGUCAGGGGUGAAAUCCCGGGGCUCAACCCCGGAACUGCCUUUGAUACUGGGUGUCUAGAGUAUGGAAGAGGUGAGUGGAAUUCCGAGUGUAGAGGUGAAAUUCGUAGAUAUUCGGAGGAACACCAGUGGCGAAGGCGGCUCACUGGUCCAUUACUGACGCUGAGGUGCGAAAGCGUGGGGAGCAAACAGGAUUAGAUACCCCAGUAGUCCCUGUCUCUUAUAC
rnacentral:rRNA from 1 species